rnacentral:rRNA from 1 species
GACGAACGCUGGCGGCGUGCUUAACACAUGCAAGUCGAACGGAAAGGCCCUGCUUUUGUGGGGUGCUCGAGUGGCGAACGGGUGAGUAACACGUGAGUAGCCUGCCCUUGACUUUGGGAUAACUUCAGGAAACUGGGGCUAAUACCGGAUAGGAGCUCCUGCUGCAUGGCGGGGGUUGGAAAGUUUCGGCGGUUGGGGAUGGACUCGCGGCUUAUCAGCUUGUUGGUGGGGUAGUGGCUUACCAAGGCUUUGACGGGUAGCCGGCCUGAGAGGGUGACCGGCCACAUUGGGACUGAGAUACGGCCCAGACUCCUACGGGAGGCAGCAGUGGGGAAUAUUGCACAAUGGGCGGAAGCCUGAUGCAGCAACGCCGCGUGCGGGAUGACGGCCUUCGGGUUGUAAACCGCUUUCGCCUGUGACGAAGCGUGAGUGACGGUAAUGGGUAAAGAAGCACCGGCUAACUACGUG